UACGGGGGGGGCAAGCGUUGUUCGGAAUUACUGGGCGUAAAGGGCUCGUAGGCGGCCAACUAAGUCAGACGUGAAAUCCCUCGGCUUAACCGGGGAACUGCAUCUGAUACUGGAUGGCUUGAGUUCGGGAGAGGGAUGCGGAAUUCCAGGUGUAGCGGUGAAAUGCGUAGAUAUCUGGAGGAACACCGGUGGCGAAGGCGGCAUCCUGGACCGACACUGACGCUGAGGAGCGAAAGCCAGGGGAG
rnacentral:rRNA from 1 species